CAGCGGAAAUGAAGUGUAUGGGAGAGGUGAUAUGGAUGCUAGCUUGAAGGAGUGGAUCACAACUCAGAAGGCUUCCAACAAGUGGAAGAAAGUUGCAAUGGAGAAGCAAGCUUGGGAAGUGACUUUCGGAGAAAGAAGAUUGCUAAUCAUUUUAGCAGAAUUUCUUUACUAUAAUCCAAAAGUGAAUACAUGGGCAGCCAAGGUGAGUUAUAUNGACUCCUCAACCUUUAGCUUGGUGAUGAAAACGUGUUCAGCCAAUAUGAAUCACGUUUCCUAACUCUAA
rnacentral:lncRNA from 1 species